UUUGUGAUAUCUAGGAGAUAUCAGGCGGGGAGUGUACUGUCCUUCGUACGAAUUUUUAAGGUACGAGUUAUCAAAAUAAAUGCUAGAAGCCAUGUGGCUGAAACAUUGUUUACCUGUGGAAUUUUUGGAAGUUUAAGGGAAAUUACAGUGUAAGUAAUUGAUUGCCUUUGUAAAUUUAUUCUUUUACAUCUACUUUAUUUGAUGUUUAAUGCAUAGUUGCAGCUUUCAACAAUAAUGAUAGAUAUUUGUGGUUUUCUCUAACCUCCUGUUCUCGAAGUAUGAUACGCCAUUGUUGUCAUCACUAUGUCUAGGACAAUAACUUGUCUAUAUGUAGUUGAAUAUUAUAUGAAAUUUGCAUUGUUUUCUUUCUCUUCGAUAAAAUGAUGUAAAGUAAGCUAUAAGAAUAUGAUUUCAUGUUAAUAAUAGAAUUUGAGAUAGAAUAGGUUGCUGUUCAAAAUAAUUUUCUAUGGAACACCAUAACAGUCAUUGUCAAAGUUAGUUAAUUCGUACGCUAUAUAAUAAUUAGCUCGUCUGUAAUAGUUAGCACAUUUUCUUAUUAGUUUUUAUCUUUCUUUGUAGUCUUUUACCACAUGCCAUCUCACAUAUUCGUCCUUGUCAAUAAAGACAUCAGUUUAUUUGGACUUGGAAGUAUUUUAUGUAGAUGCUUGGUUGUCUGACUGUCUGCUAAUCACGAGACAGUACACUUAUCCAUGGAAUUCUCAGGUGGCAGCAUGAAGGAGACCCAGGUGAUGAUACCUGUUGAUGUAUAUGUGAUACCUGUUGAUGUAUAUGCAGCUGAUGAUGUCGACAUAGAAAUUAAUUCUGUUGAUCCAAAUGACAAGGAAAGAGAUGGUCUUCCUGUUGUCUUGGUACUUACAGGCUUUAAUGUAAAAUAAAAGGACCAAUAUGAGAUAAAUAGUGACUAUUUAUCUGGAGUUGUGCACAAUGAGCCAAAAUUAUCCAGAUUAGCAAGAAAUGGCAGUUUAUUAGAAGAAAUGAACUUCCUACUAGUUGGAUUUCCUUCAACUUAGAGGUUAAGGAUUUGAUUACUAUUCCGUCCAAGGAGAUGCCAAUCAGCAGUGAGUCCAUCAUCAUCAUUCCAGAUGGAACGAAUGAGGAAGUUAGGGCAUGUCUCUUGCAAGUCCAAAAACUGAGACAUUUACCAGUCCAGGUCACGGAGUCAUUUCUCGCCUAUGACAGCAGCAUUCAUUGAAAAGGGAACAUGGACUAUCGUACCAAAGUACAGACCGAGAAAAAAUGAAGAAAAAUAAAAAUACCUGCCAUGUGCACACUGUUUGGCCGUUGUUGUAGCUACAGACUUAUGGAAGCACCAAAUUCAUGUCCAGCAAACAAAUCUCAACAAAAUUUAAAAUAUCCUGUAUGUGAAGGAUGUUUGCUGUUACCCUGUGACUCUGAAUUUUUAAAAAAAACUACAUCAAAUUGUUUAAAAAAAUUCUUGCUAUCUCCUUUGUAUUUUUAUACAUAUCUAACAUGUAAUGAUAAUAAAUUAUCAAAAAAAGAUUAAUUUAUCUUCGUAAAUGCACAGUUUAUACAAAGACCUUAUCUUGUCGAUUAAAGUUUUUAAAGUUGCUUUCAUAAUGAAUUUUUCGAUUAAAUGUUAACAUUAAAAAAUAAUCCUUAUAUUCAUUAUUUGAAGUAAUAAAUAUUAAAUCUAUUU